rnacentral:tRNA from 1 species
UUAAUUGAAGCCAAAACAGAGGCUAUUCAUUGUUAAUGAAAAAACUGGUUUAUUAACCCAAUUAAA